rnacentral:lncRNA from 1 species
UGCCUAUUUCUAUUUAAGAUCCACUUCUAUAGACUAUAAGCUUUUAGUAUGAAUUUAGGGAUUCAGGAAGAAGAGCAUGAAGGUUAGUUAACUUAGGUACUACUCCCAACGCUAAGCAGCUAUCUGCGUGGGAGUUGGGAAGGAACAGAGGGUAGUGAAGAUGCUGGCCUUGCACUUUGCUUCAGGGCUCUGAGCAAUGUUCUGUAGCCAGCACCUUCAAAAACUGGAACACCUUACAGCUGCUGUUAGUUACUCCGCUGCAAAAACCUUUAUUUAAUGGAUCCUUAACAAAUAUUUUUGAAUGAAUGAAGAGCAAGGGAACUGAAGUUACCCAGAAUGCCCAGGACAAGUCUACAAAGAAUGAGGGGCACCAACAAUCCAAGCAACUACAUACACUGGAGAGCACAGUGGUUCUAAAAUGAAAAAGUGGUUGUGGAAAGGGGAACCAGAGCUUUCUCUAUCUGUCAACAUUUCUGCGCUGUGUUAGCAUUUCUAAGGCAUUGAUGAAAGUUAUCAACAUAUUAAUAAAAUCUCCUUAAAAA